rnacentral:rRNA from 1 species
UUCCUACGGGGGGCAGCAGUAGGGAAUCUUCCACAAUGGACGAAAGUCUGAUGGAGCAACGCCGCGUGAGUGAAGAAGGGUUUCGGCUCGUAAAGCUCUGUUGGUAGUGAAGAAAGAUAGAGGUAGUAACUGGCCUUUAUUUGACGGUAAUUACUUAGAAAGUCACGGCUAACUACGUGCCAGCAGCCGCGGUAAUACGUAGGUGGCAAGCGUUUUCCGGAUUUAUUGGGCGUAAAGCGAGUACAGGCGGGU